rnacentral:misc_RNA from 1 species
UGCGCGGCGAGAACGCGGAG